AUGCUGCUUGUGCCCCCAGAGCAUUCUGCCCUCGACACCUGCCACCUUUCAGCUCCACGCUUUGUUCCGAUGCUACCUCAGCCCCAAGAGCUUGCCACCGUCAUCCGUCACCUUGCUGACUACAGGUUCGGUGACCAUGAUGGCAGUUUGCAGAUCAAACGCUUCCAGAACGGCACCGCCUUCACCAGGCGCAGCAACAGAGGUACAAAAUUGACACUUGGGGUGCACCGCCCGCUGUGCCCUGAGAGAGGUAUGCCCACCGUCCCACUAUUCCCAUGCGUGGACCGCAAUCUUCAAUGGUUCAGUUCAAUGCUCUUGAAAGAAGGCGGCGACGGUGGCUUGUCCUACCUGUAUGUGUUGGGUACCAAGGAUUCGGGGAAGUUCCUGGUGCGUGUGUAUGUGUUGCAAGAUGGUGUUUGGUGCCUUCAUACCGCGGCCACGUGCCAGCCCCGUCCUAUGCAUAUUGAACCAAAAGCUGUGCUCAUCCACAAAAAAAUCUAUAUGCCGUCCGGCAACAGUGACGACAUUAUUGUCUUGGAUAUGACGACAUCAAUCUUCUCCACAAUUCAGCUGCCACAAGGAGUUAGGUAUAACUAUUUUCGGACCAUGUUGUCUCCAGCUGAUGAUGCAUCCGGUGUAUAUCUUGUCCAUAUCAAUGAAUUUCAACUUCACAUAUGGCUCUCCAAGGGGGACAAUUGGUUGCUGGUUGAUACCAUUUGUUUGAGGAUGUUAGAUCACACUCUUGAGGACGAGCAUAGUGCCAAUGCGCAGAUAAUUCAGGUGGGAGACAAUGCUGAAUAUGUGUUCUUGUGGAUGACUGGACGCACACUCUAUCUAGACGUCAUGAGAAAGGCAGUGCAUAAAGUGCAUGAGAUGCCAAAAAAGGAUGGACAUUUCAGUGUUGUCAAGCCUUUUAUGAUGUUAUGGCCACCCAUAUUCCCUGUGCUCAAGGAUGACCCUUCAAGGAAUGCCAUCUGA
rnacentral:rRNA from 1 species